rnacentral:rRNA from 1 species
CUAUUAUANUAAUUAAUUCAGGGUAAUAACAUNUGAGAAACCCAAAAAUUUUGGCGGUGAUCAAUCUAAUCAGAGGAAUUUGUCUUUUAAUUGAUAGUCCUCAUUAUAACUAACUUAUAUUAAAGCUUGUAUAUCGUCGUUUAUAGUAAAUUUUAAUAAAAUAUUUUCAAAAUUUUAUGAAUAAAAGAAAGUCAGAUCAAGGUGUAGUUGAUAUAUAAGGUAAGAUGAAUUACAAUAUACAUAUAUAAACGGAAAAUAUUUGUAAAAAUGUGAGAAGGUGGAUUUGAGGGUAAUUUUAUAUAAAUAAUAUAGAAAAAUAUAAUGAUAUGAGCUCUAGAUCAUGUACACAUCGCCCGUCG